GACGAACGCUGGCGGCGUGCUUAACACAUGCAAGUCGAACGGAAAGGCCCUGCUUUUGGGGGGUGCUCGAGUGGCGAACGGGUGAGUAACACGUGAGUAACCUGCCCUUGACUUUGGGAUAACUUCAGGAAACUGGGGCUAAUACCGGAUAGGAGCUCCUGCUGCAUGGUGGGGGUUGGAAAGUUUCGGCGGUUGGGGAUGGACUCGCGGCUUAUCAGCUUGUUGGUGGGGUAGUGGCUUACCAAGGCUUUGACGGGUAGCCGGCCUGAGAGGGUGACCGGCCACAUUGGGACUGGGAUACGGCCCAGACUCCUACGGGAGGCAGAAGUGGGGAAUAUUGAACAAUGGGCGGAAGCCUGAUGCAGCAACGCCGCGUGCGGGAUGACGGCCUUCGGGUUGUAAACCGCUUUCGCCUGUGACGAAGCGGGAGUGACGGUAAUGGGUAAAGAAGCACCGGCUAACUACGUG
rnacentral:rRNA from 1 species